AAGAAAGCAGGAAAAGCUGGGUCAGGAGAGGGAUAAAGAAGAGUGAUAUUGAUACACUAGAAAUCUGAGGUCACAAGAGGUACACCUAUGGUUGCCGGUGACAAAGGGUAACCUAGAGAGGAGGAAGGUAGUUUUGUAUUUAAUGUGGAACCACCCUGAGGAGACACCAGUACUCUAACGGAGGGCACGGUGAGUGGUGGCCGUGUUCAAGAACACCUGGAAGUGACUGAGGAUCAGGCGCCCCGUGUAUGGAAAGCUUCCUGAAGC
rnacentral:lncRNA from 10 species